AACGAACGCUGGCGGCGUGCCUAACACAUGCAAGUCGAACGUGAUUGGAAGCUUGCUUCCAUGAAAGUGGCGCACGGGUGAGUAACGCGUAGAUAAUCUGCCUGGUGAUUCGGGAUAACACUUCGAAAGGGGUGCUAAUACCGGAUAAGCCCACGGAGUCCUUGGACACUGCGGGAAAAGGGGGGGACCUUCGGGCCUUCUGUCACCAGAUGAGUCUGCGUACCAUUAGCUAGUUGGUAGGGUAAAGGCCUACCAAGGCGACGAUGGUUAGCUGGUCUGAGAGGAUGAUCAGCCACACUGGAACUGAGACACGGUCCAGACUCCUACGGGAGGCAGCAGUGGGGAAUUUUGCGCAAUGGGGGAAACCCUGACGCAGCAACGCCGCGUGAGUGAUGAAGGCCCUUGGGUCGUAAAGCUCUGACAGAGGGAAAGAAGUGUAUUGUGGCUAAUACCCAUGAUACUUGACGGUACCCUCAAAGGAAGCACCGGCUAACUCCGUGCCAGCAGCCGCGGUAAAAC
rnacentral:rRNA from 1 species